GUGGGUGUAGCUCAGUGGGAGAGCCCUUGCCCAGCAUGCAAGAGACUCUGGGUUCAGUCCUCAGCUUCCCCC
rnacentral:tRNA from 1 species